rnacentral:sRNA from 1 species
UGCUUCUAGAUCUAGUUCAUAUUUGAAAACAGUCUGUGGGAACUUAUUUUUACUUGAUUUAUGUACAUUUAUUAUUUGUGUGUUUAAUGGGAAGGAAGUUGCUGCACUCGGAUUUAAUUCUAGAGUAUCUGUGAUCUGUCAGCGCAAACAGUCCUUUAACCUAUAAAUGUUUAUUUCUUUCUAGUUCCCAUGGAUCUCGAUGCCAAGAUGAAAGCAACUCUAAUGGGCUGCGUGUUCCUAAUUGACUUUAUGUACUUUGAGAACAACCAGCAGAAUCAGAAUCAUCAUCAUCAUUUUUAAAGGAAACAUGGACUGAAAACUAUUGGAACGCAGACAUUUCAACAGAAUUUGCGACUGAAUAGACCUUGCAAAUAAACGCGCCUUACGAAUUAGUGUGACAUGUAUAAAAUGUGAAUAUAUUUACAUAACAUAUGCAAAACAUUAACAUAAACCAUUUUUAGGUAUUUCAUGUUUUUUUUAUUUAUACAUAUUCCCUAAAAGACGCAGUCUUCGAUACUGGCGAUUAAGGUUAAAUGCAAACAAAUAAAUAAGAACAAUUACACUUGCCUGUUACGUGUGUCUGUUAAGGGAAAGUUCACCUUGACAUAACGGCCAUUUUGCCUAAGGCCAGGAUCAUCUCCAAAACCUACCCCUUUAUGUCCUCUCGAGGACCCGGUUUCAAAUUUCUGGGAACCAUCUUCUGUUUGAACAAAUGAUGCAUAAGUUUAUUUCAUUGUUGACAAGUCGAGUGUGUAUCACCGACAACACGCGAACAGAUGCGGAACAGUGCUACGGCCAUUAAAGGGAACAGCCGUGGAGAUCGUAGUCUUCAUAUGAAUAUUAAUGAUCUCUAUGUAGGAAAGAAGCAGAGACAGAAAGAGAGAAAUAGUGCCAUACAUACAGAGAAUAUACAUUACGGCGAGCCAAAAAGAAAUAAAAGUAAGCCAAAAGAAAUAAAAGAGCACUGGAAAAGAAAUUCAAUAAGAAAACUGAGAGCCUCGGUGGCAGGUUCUUAUAAAACAGACACAACCACUUAUCACAAAGGCUUUUAAAUUGAUAUAUGUAGAGAUGAUUCAGUGUUGAUUUAAAAUAUUCUUGUUGACCCUAGCCUCCUUAAUUUUACUGACACACACAUUUACAAAUAUAAAUGACAAGCACACACACACACACACAGUGACGAACACACAGCUUUGCUUUCUGUCAUAUGCGGCUAAAAAAGCUGAAAAAAAAUGUCGGAAAAUUGGAUAUUCCCCCCCUUCCCCUAAACAUACAGCGUUGGGAGUCCUUCUGCCUUUCUAAUGACUUGGAUAAAGAAGAUAGGCCAUGAGCCAAGCGUAUCUAAGACAAAAAGCGCCUUGGCUGAGGUUCUCAAGCGGCCUCAAGCUUCGUGACUACUGAGAAACCCAAACUGUGUUUAUAAGAGUGCACCCCAGGAGUCCUCCCCUCACAACUAUUUCAAUAUCUGGCCUGUCUUGAACAAUGCAUGCUCUAAAGAAGGCAGUUACAAGUUAGCAAAUGGAGUUUGUGUUAACACCAACUCAUAGGCGGCACCUGUGGGUCCGCUGUUGGCUAGGGGAUGCAUAUAUUUAUGUAAAAAACUUAUAUCCUGUAAUACAUUUGUAUACCCUAGUUAUUCUUUUACGUUUUAUUUAUUUGUUGUAAAUUUUCAUUCAUAUUAAUGUCAGCAUUUCAUGGGUUCCCAAAUUAUCGUAUCAUUAGAUACAUUUAAAAUUAAAAGUUUAUAUACACAUAUUUGUUGUACCCCAUUCAAGUUAUUACUGUUACAUCCCUAUGAAGCUUUCUUCUCCUGAGGACCUGUUGAAGAAUCUCAGUUAGCUAUACCCUUUUAAAUUCAGUACUUGUAAAGACGUUGAAGAUGCCUCGUAUUAGCUUAGGGCUGAAGAGCUUAUUUGCAAAGGAUUUAAUUAUUUUCCUCAAGAAUGUGUAGCUUUAAUGUGUUGCUGCCAACAAAUUUAUAUUGUAUAAAAAAAAGUUGUAGUGGCUACUCAAUAUCCUCGUAUACAUCAUGCUAAAUAAAAUGAUUUAAUCGGUAAUUGGAAGGUGAACUCUGUGUAAUGCUUAAGGUUAGAAAACCAAUGACUAAUUUAUGUGUAUGUGUAAAGCUCAACUUCCACCAGGAUUCGAACCCAGCACCAUGGUUUGGAAGCCAAGCCCUUUACCGCUCGGUCAUCAAUUUAGGAGCAAUAUAUUUUUUUAAUUGGAACAUUAAAUAUUUUAUUUAACUUCAGGAAUGUAUGAAUUAAUCUCAAAUACAUGUUUACUAAUUAGACCCUACCAAUGUCACUGUUAAUCCUCUGGUAUAGAAUUAGUUAUUUGACUUUUUUUUUUUCAAAAAGAAUAUGUUGAACAGUUCGUAGAUAAAAAUACUUAUCUCAAGUUGACCUCCAAUCUGAACACAAAGGCAACACCUUAUCUUAGACGGUAAUUAAAGUUAAAGACAGUAAUGAAUUAAAUUUACUUUGCAUGACAAGGUAAAGCCCCCCCCUCCCCUUCUUUUGUCCCCAAUCAUGUUGAUUGAAGGGCCCAUUCAAUCUUUUCCCUUUGACUUUCUCAAAGGGAUAUAGUCCGAUACACAAUCUUCUCAUUACGAUACACAAUCUUCUCAUUACGAUAAGCUUUUAGUUCUGUAGUGUUAAUCCAUUACUACUCGUAAGCUCUAAGGGUUUUAAUUUUCCUUAUCUUUACCUUUUAUUAAACCAAUUGUGUUGAAAUGUUUUGAAAAUGAUUGUUACAGAUGACCUAUAUGUACAUUUAUUUCCUCCUGUAAAAUAAAACCAAUACACUUACAGUUACUAAAGAGAA